UGGGGAAUUUUGGACAAUGGGGGAAACCCUGAUCCAGCCAUCCCGCGUGUGCGAUGAAGGCCUUCGGGUUGUAAAGCACUUUUGGCAGGAAAGAAACGUCAUGGGUUAAUACCCCGUGAAACUGACGGUACCUGCAGAAUAAGCACCGGCUAACUACGUGCCCGCAGCCGCGGCAAUACGUAGGGUGCAAGCGUUAAUCGGAAUUACUGGGCGUAAAGCGUGCGCAGGCGGUUCGGAAAGAAAGAUGUGAAAUCCCAGAGCUCAACUUUGGAACUGCAUUUUUAACUACCGGGCUAGAGGGUGUCAGAGGGAGGUGGAAUUCCGGGUGUAGCAGUGAAAUGCGUAGAUAUGCGAAGGAACACCGAUGGCGAAGGCAGCCUCCUGGGAUAACACUGACGCUAAUGCACGAAAGCGUGGGGAGCAAACAGG
rnacentral:rRNA from 1 species